rnacentral:snRNA from 1 species
GCUUUUGCGCAGUGGCAGUAUCGUAGCCAAUGAGGUUUAUCUGAGGCAUGAUUAUUGCUAAUUGAAAACUUUUCCUAAUACCUUGCAACAACUUGAAAUAUAGUCAGCAUUGGCAAUCUUUGACAGUCUCUACGGAGA